UACCCGUUGCCAUUUGAGUCUCUUAGCACACUAAAAAUUUUAAUUAUAAUUAAUUAAGAUAAUAAUAAUUUUAUUAAAAGUCAUGAGUUCAUCAGAACACCACAAUAGUAACACCAAGCAGAGCCAAAUCGAAAAAGAGUUAACUCUCAUAAAUUUGGGUCAUGAGGAUUAUGGAGAGGCGAGAGAGUGCAGGAAUAUUCUUGAAGAGUGUCUUGUGUACGACAGUAUGUUACAGGAAAUGGAAAUAGAAGUCUUAAUAUUAAAAUAUAAAAUAACAAAUACUAUUGUCAAGUUUGAUAUGACCAGAAUGGCUAUGGAAAAGUUUAAUUAUUAGUAUAAUCUUUACAUAUAUAAAUAAAGUUAAUAAGGUGUAAAGAAAAUUUGCAUAACGUACUGAGAGAGACGCAAAUAGACAAACGAAACAAAAAAGUCCACAAUUUAAAUGCCCUCAAAGAACACAUUUACCACCGCGAAAUUAUUUUGUUUUGUUACGGGCGGGUGGUUUCCCGCGGCAUUUCAAAGCGCGAUCUGUCACAGUCGAGGGGGUUACCCGACUGUGACACCGUCUCAUCACAUGUGUGGAUGCCUAUUCCACUUAAGUGUCCCUUGAUUUAUUUGUCUGUUUAUUUUGGUACUCUUUUAGAAAUGAUGAAAAUAGGGGCAAAUUAAUAGGAUAUUGAUUGAGUUAUUCCUAAGGGAAAAUAAGGAGCUACUACAGUGGGGAUUUAUUGUUGAGCCAGAUUGACCAAAAAAGAAGAGAGUUUCUCCUUGAAUGAAUGACUUGUAAGGCAAUGGGUAGCCAAAGGGGCUAUCAUGCAUACCUAGAGGUCUCGUAACACGGAUCCGUUGUGCCCCAUCGAGGGUUAACAGAGGCCAAUAAUCUUGGAAAAUAUAAUGAAGCUCUGGUUUGAAAAGCUUAAUGUCGCUGGAUAAACUGUAGGUGUAACCCAGGCACUCCUCGAUAAUAACGUGGUCUACAGUCACUAGCGGAAUUUCGCGUCUUUUUAAGUGCAGUGGUUGUCUGGUGAGACAGGCAGAUCAUUAAAAAAAACUAGAAGGAAAUUCUUACAAAAUCAUGAGAAGUUAGAGACAAUUUGGAUUUUUUACCUUUGGUUUCUUGGUUUGAUAUUCUGUUCGGAAUAUGCUUAGCCUAUAGCUAAUCCUGUAGUGUUAUAGCGUAAAAAGAUCUAAAGAGAAGAUUAAUAGUGUGUAAUAUUACUAAAGUGAAUAAAAAAUAAUUUUUUAAAUUA